UGGGGAAUAUUGGACAAUGGGCGCAAGCCUGAUCCAGCCACGCCGCGUGAGUGAUGAAGGCCUUCGGGUCGUAAAGCUCUGUGGGGAGGGACGAACCGCUUUUGGUUCAUAGCCAGAAGCAUGACGGUACCUCCUUAGCAAGCACCGGCUAACUUCGUGCCAGCAGCCGCGGUAAUACGAAGGGUGCAAACGUUGCUCGGAAUCAUUGGGCGUAAAGCGCACGUAGGCGGCCCUAAAAGUCGGAUGUGAA
rnacentral:rRNA from 1 species